rnacentral:rRNA from 1 species
UACGUAGGUGGCAAGCGUUUGUCCGGAUUUAUUGGGUUUAAAGGGUGCGUAGGCGGCCCUGUAAGUCAGUGCUGAAAUACCCCCGGCUUAACCGGGGGGGGUGGCAUUGAUACUGCAGGGCUUGAGUACAGAUGAGGUAGGGCGGAAGUUGACGGUGUAGCGGUGAAAUGCAUAGAUAUCGUCAAGAACACCGAUAGCGAAGGC